rnacentral:rRNA from 1 species
CAGCAGCCACGGUAAUACGUAGGGUGCAAGCGUUAAUCGGAAUUACUGGGCGUAAAGCGUGCGCAGGCGGUUCGCUAAGACAGAUGUGAAAUCCCCGGGCUUAACCUGGGAACUGCAUUUGUGACUGGCGGGCUAGAGUAUGGCAGAGGGGGGUAGAAUUCCACGUGUAGCAGUGAAAUGCGUAGAGAUGUGGAGGAAUACCGAUGGCGAAGGCAGCCCCCUGGGCCAAUACUGACGCUCAUGCACGAAAGCGUGGGGAGCAAACAGGAUUAGAUACCCGCGUAGUCCCUGUCUCUUAUAC